UACGUAGGGGGCAAGCGUUGUCCGGAAUCAUUGGGCGUAAAGAGCGCGUAGGCGGCCCUGUAAGUCCGCUGUGAAAGUCAAGGGCUCAACCCUUGAAUGCCGGUGGAUACUGCAGGGCUAGAGUCCGGAAGAGGCGAGUGGAAUUCCUGGUGUAGAGGUGAAAUUCGUAGAUAUUAGGAAGAACACCAGUGGCGAAGGCGGCCUACUGGUCCGGCACUGACGCUGAGGUGCGAAAGCGUGGGGAGCAAACAGG
rnacentral:rRNA from 1 species